rnacentral:rRNA from 1 species
AUGGUGGCCACGUCCACAAUACAGGGGCCGUUAGCGCCAGGCCCACCGCAUGCAACUCCACAGACGCUCUGGACCACUCGCCACAAUUCUCGUUCAGUUGUGGCUCUUUUAUUAGUAGAGAUAGGAGAGUUAUGUAAUAAUUUUACUUUGUUCGAUAUUCAGCAUGUAACCAGGUUAGCUAACAUUCCGGCGCAUCUCUGUGCAAAGCGUGCUUGCACUCUGAAUGUGACCGGUAGCUGGCUUGACGAAACCCCUAGCUUCUUAGUGACCAGCUUAUUGGCUGAUUGUCCUAAGAAUGCCUUCAUAGAAUAA